rnacentral:ncRNA from 1 species
AAAGGUUUGGUCCUGACUUUACUAUCAACUUUAGCUAAACUGACACUGCAAGUAUCCGCGUACACGUGAGAAUGCCCUACAGUUCCCCGCCGGGAACAAGGAGCUGGUAUCAGGCACACCACUGCUAGCCCACGACACCUUGCUAAGCCACACCCCCAAGGGAACUCAGCAGUAGAUAAACGAUUAAGCCAUGAGUGAAAACUUGAUUUAGUUAAAGACUAAGAGGGCCGGUAAAUCUCGUGCCAGCCACCGCGGUUAUACGAGAGGCCCAAGCUAGACAGACACCGGCGUAAAGAGUGGUUAGGACUCUUAUACAACUAAAGCCAAACACCUUCAGAGCUGUUAUACGCACCCGAAGGCAAGAAGACCAACUACGAAAGUGGCUUUAUAGCCCUGAACCCACGAAAGCUACGACACAAACUGGGAUUAGAUACCCCACUAUGCCUAGCCGUAAACAUUGGUAGUGUAACACGUCCGCUACCCGCCCGGGUACUACGAGCAUUAGCUUGAAACCCAAAGGACUUGGCGGUGCUUUAGAUCCACCUAGAGGAGCCUGUUCUAGAACCGAUAACCCCCGUUCAACCUCACCUUCCCUUGUUUAUCCCGCCUAUAUACCGCCGUCGUCAGCUUACCCUAUGAAGGUUUAAUAGUAAGCAAGAUUGGCACAGCCUAAAACGUCAGGUCGAGGUGUAGCGUAUGGGAGGGCAAGAAAUGGGCUACAUUUCCUACCAUAGGAAACACGAACGAUGCACUGAAACGUUCAUCUGAAGGGGGAUUUAGCAGUAAGCAGGAAAUAGAGCGUCCCGCUGAAAUUGGCCCUGAAGCGCGCACACACCGCCCGUCACUCUCCCCAAGCAUAAUGUCCAAAGUAACUAAAAAUCUUAUAAUCGCAGAGGGGAGGCAAGUCGUAACAUGGUAAGUGUACCGGAAGGUGCACUUGG